rnacentral:lncRNA from 1 species
GAUAGCUCGUUCUGCGAACCGGACGGUUGGUAAUUUACCCUAGCAGUGGUAAUUUCUGGCGAGAUAAUUUAUUCUGGCCCAUAAAGCCAUAAUUACUGGGAAAAUUUUUUGCGUACCCGGGACUUUUGUGUAAUUCUGGCUACCAUUGGCGCCCUGGGUAUUACGUACUGAUGUGUAUUGCGUACUGUGUAUAUAUAAAAGGCCGCCUGAACGUUAGCGUUCAGUAUCGGAGCUUCUCUCAAGGUUGGACUUAGGAAAGAAACGAGGGCGAAUAGCACUGACUACAAACCACGCGUUAACGCUUGAAUCCGACUCGUUUAUAUAGCAGCGGAGAUUUGCACGACAAUGACUAGGUUACUUCUGAUCGUGGUCCUUCUCUCGGCCAUCUGUGUCGAGUUGUAUUCGGCGGGCACCGUACGGAGAAUCAGCGACGUACGAGCCUUACACGCACGCCAGCGACGACAGGCGUCGAAAAUCCACAAUCUGCCACAGGACUUUCUCGACAAGUUAUCGGAUGCUGGAACAAACGCUCUGAAGAGCAAGUACUUGGAGGCAGCAAAACUCGUGAAGGCACAGAAGACCGCUGUCGAAGCAGAAGAGCCCAAAUGUAAAGCCGCCGCCG